GAUGAACGCUGGCGGCAGGCCUAACACAUGCAAGUCGAACGAGUGGCGGACGGGUGAGUAAUGUCUGGGAAACUGCCUGAUGGAGGGGGAUAACUACUGGAAACGGUAGCUAAUACCGCAUACCAUCGGAUGUGCCCAGAUGGGAUUAGCUAGUAGGUGGGGUAACGGCUCACCUAGGCGACGAUCCCUAGCUGGUCUGAGAGGAUGACCACCAACCCUGGAACUGAGACCCGGUCCAGACUCUUCCGGGAGGCAGCAGUGGGGAAUAUUGCACAAGGGGCGCAAUCCUGAUGCAGCCAUGCCGCGUGUAUGAAGAGGGCCUUCGGGUUGUAAAGUACUUUCAGCGGGGAGGCGUUACCCGCAGAAGAAGCACCGGCUAACUCCGUGCCAGCAGCCGCGGUAAUUC
rnacentral:rRNA from 1 species